GCUGGGAUGGUCUAAUCGGUCAAGACGUUGCCUCAGAUAAGCAAAAAUUGCGGGUUCGAUCCCCACUCCUGGCU
rfam:Ixodes scapularis strain Wikel colony gcontig_1107728916774, whole genome shotgun sequence.